GCCAGUGUGGUGUAGCAGUUUGGGUGUUGGACUAGGACUCCAGAGACCAGGGUUCAAAUCCCCACUUGGCA